rnacentral:rRNA from 1 species
GCAUCGAUGAAGAACGCAGCAAAGUGCGAUAAUUGGUGUUCUGUGCACGAAACGGGCACUCAAUAUUCGAAUACACAUCGUUCUGUCUAAGCGAAAAGCUAGCAGAGCAUCUGCUUCAGGGUUGUUUUAUUUUAACUUUGCUCUUUUUGCUUAGUUCAUUAUGUUCUAGUCCGAUCAUUGUCCGCAAUGUUUGGGCUUAGUGUGGGAAGCGGUGGCUUACGGACGCGCCCUUUCCGAUUACUUCGCAGCCCCGCUGCUUAGUAGUCCCCGUAGUUAGUCUGCGGUUACGCAACCUGAAGUCAGGUGUGGCUACCCGCUGAACUUAAGCAUAUCAAUAAGCGGAGGA